rnacentral:misc_RNA from 1 species
UCCUCGAUGUUUGAGGGUACGGAGCGACGUCGCUGUCUGGAGCUAGUCACCUGAAAAUCGUCUGCAAGUCAUUUGGGAAUUUUGACACAGGAGCGGUACAGGGGGUGUUGCAAAAAUGUCUGGUGACGAAUUUGAGUACUAUGGAGGCAUCGAAGGGGGUGCAACACAUUCAAAAAUGGUUCUUAUUCGAUCGGAUGGAAAGGUGGCUGGUUGGAGUGAAGGUCCCUGUACAAAUCAGUGGCUCAUUGGUCUAGAAGAGUGCCUGAAGAGAAUCAACACGAUGACAGUUGAAGUGAAGGAGAAGGCAGGAGUAGAAGCUUCCAAACCACUCAAGGCUCUGGGAAUGUCCUUGAGUGGAGGAGAUGAGUCCGAGAGUCAGCGGCAACUAAAGGAAGGGAUAAAGACAAACUAUGUUGAUCUGACAAGCCACACAUACGUUGCCAGUGACACCUUUGGAGCCCUUGCUACUGCAUUGUCUAAUGGUGGGAUUGUUCUCAUUGCUGGGACUGGCUCCAACUGUCAGCUGAUCAACCCAGACAACUCAGCCUAUCGGUGUGGAGGAUGGGGACAUCUCAUUGGGGAUGAGUCAUCAGCUUACUGGAUUUCACACAAAGCUUUGAAGAUGUAUUUUGAUAAGGAAGAUAAUUUGGUGGAAUGUCCUUAUGAUACGACAGCAGUGAAAGACAUCAUGUGUUCUUAUUUUGAAAUAAAGGACAGACCAGAACUACUAAACUUUUUAUAUGCUAAGUUUGAGAAAGCCAAGAUUGCUGGAAUGUGUAAAGAAUUAGCAAAAUGUGCUGUGGAUACAAAGGAUCCUCUGUGCCUGCAUAUAUUCGAAGAGGCUGGGAAACUCCUGGCUCGACACAUCCUUGCCCUUGGACCUAAGAUGGACAAGAAAAUACUGGAGGGGGACGGAGGACUCCAUGUCGUGUGUGUCGGGUCGGUGUGGAAGAGUUGGUCGCUGCUGGAACCAGGUUUUGUUGCGGUGAUGUCAGAGGGUGGACCCAAGCUGGGCAUCCCAGAGGUGACGUUGAUGGAGCUGCUGGUGUCAGGGGCAGUGGGCGCAGCAUCCCUAGGUGCCAGAGACGUCAACUUUGAUCUGCCUAUGGACUACAAAGCUAACGCCAAAAUCUUCUUCAACAAGAAACUGGAAUGAUGGCUUAUAUAUUUUGGGAAUAAAACAGUGCUUCUCUUGCUUUGGAGACUGGAUAGCGAUUGAAGAAUGUAUGCUAAGAGAAUAAAAGUAUUUCAUGCAGUGUGCUACAGAAGUAGCUUUUUAGGCACAGUAAGGCACCAAUUGAUAUUGAAGAAAUCAUUUUUAGCCUGAUAGUGAUGAUUCUUAAAGUUCACUAACUUUAUAUGAUGUGGGAUAUUUGUACUGGGGCCAUAGUAGGAGCCUUGGAGGUGAUCUAUUUGUACUGGGACCAUUUUAGGAGGUGAUCUAUUUGUACUAGGACCAUUUUAGGAGGUGAUCUACUUGUACUGGGACCAUUUUAGGAGGUGAUCUAUUUGUACUGGGACCAUAUUAAGAGGUGAUCUAUUUGUACUGGGACCAUAUUAAGAGGUGAUCUAUUUGUACAGGGACCACAGUAGGAGGUGAGCUGUUUCUACUUGGACCAUUUUAGGAAGUGAUCUAUUUGUUUGGUGGAUAUAUGGGUUUCUGGUAUGGAUAAUAUGUUUGAGAUAUGAUUUGGGGCAAAGUGCCUGAAGGUUGUACCUUUUAGGCAACCAUAAGAAAAUUGGGAAACAGAAUCACAUACCAUUUUCUACUGGCAAAUUUUCCACCAACUUUUGAAUGACCAACUGCCAUUGUAGUGUGCCCCAGUCUCUUGCUACUUGGUGGUGAUCCUUACAUAAAAAUAUCAGUGAAGAAAGCAUCAGUGAUCAAACCGUACACUGAUCAUAUUUUCAUACACAUAUUUAUUGGUGUUUAUUGUUAUGGUGGAGGAUUAUGUAGCCUGGUAAUCAAGUAGUAGCAUCAG